AACUUCUAGACACACUUUAUCACUUUCAUAUUACAGUUUAAGUCACAUUGCACUUGAGACACACUUCUUUGUGUGUUAAAGACAUCAAUACCCUCUGAUCUAAACGACAACCAGUUUCCUCGUGACAACACCUAUUCUAACUCAAACUCUGUCUUUCUUAAUUCCACUUUAAAUCCCAAUUACCUGACUCUCAUCUCAGACGCGACUAAGAUUAAGAACCGUUUUCUCUCCGAAGGGAAUCGACUUCUCGUUGUUUCUAAUCGAUUAAAGAGAAACACCUUUUAUCCAAUAACAGUCCAGAUUCUGCGAUUCAAGAGAUUUUUACCCAAUCACAAUCCCAGUCACGAUUCAAAAGAUUUUUGAUACAUAGCUUUGGAUGUAUCUGUAUAUAAGUUUCUUUCUUUUAUAACAGAAACUCGUUUUUCUCAAUAGUGGAAGAAGACAAGCGAUGAUUCUUUGUUUCUUGGAGUUUAAUUGCAUAAAUCUGAAGGGUCAUCAAAUCUCUUUUUCCUUUCUCUGUCUAUAAGCCCAAAACUCAUUUUCAGCUUCUUCUCGUUCUUGGUUUGAGAUCACUACAAAGUGUUCUUUGGAGAUGGUAUUUUAAGAAAAGAAAAUACAUAGCAAGAGACAAAAUCGAUCUAAGAAGUUUGUUCUUUAGGUCUGUUUCAAUUUUUUUUCUGGGUCAUUCCUAAAUUCAACAACUCAGGUAGAUAAAGAUUGCUCAGAUGCAAAGUGGCUUGCUGUUUAAUGGGUCAAAGUUUGAGUCUUCGUCAGAGAAUUUUGGGUUUAGGAUUAAAAGAUUAAAACUUUGGUCUGGGCAUUUUUUUCAUUUUUUCUGGGUUUUUGUUUGGAGGUUGGAGCAGUGGAACAACUUUUCUGGGCUGAAGAGAUCAGGGGCGGUUGUUACUGGUGGCCGGAGUUGUCUUGGUGUCUAGACAGACAUGGCGCCUUUCAUCCAAACCCUCAAGGCUCUGCUCUGUAUCUUCAAAUGCUUUGAAAGCACUCUCUAGGAAUGGGGAUAUUGAAAAGUGAACUCCCAAAAACCAUUUUAAUAGCGACUCCAUCAGGUUUAUAGUUGGAUUUUCUAUUGCGUCCAUAAAUCAAACAUCAAUCAAACAUCUAUUUUUCCAUCCACAAGUAAAUGUAUUUGUCCAUGGAAAGGCUUCCACAAA